rnacentral:lncRNA from 10 species
UGCCCUUCCAUGUGAACAGAAACGCCUCUCCCUCUGAGGUGAAAAUGGUGCUGUCAACACCCUCCUCAGAGGGCACAUGCCUUGUGAGUGAGAGUGAUGGAGCUCCGCCAGCAGCCAUGCUCUCCACCCUCCUCACGGGGAAAGGCUGCUCUUUACUGGCCAGCCCUCUGGAAAUGUCCCUCUGAGUCACUCUUAACAAGACAGGAGAAAGCAGUUUCCUGCUUUCACGCCUUCCCUUUUUUCUUUUCUCUCUUCCUUCCUUCUUCCGUUCCUCUUCCUUCCCUCCCUCUUGACCUUCCUCUCUCCCUCCCUUCUUUCCUUCCUUCCUGUGGCUCUCCUUUGUGAGUGACCUACCUCCGCUUCCUACUCUGUGACUUUGCACAUUCAAUCAUUGCCUGGCUCCACCAGCAGUAUAUAAGGUGAAAGAGGAUCCUGCCAGCUGUUCUAGGCCCAGAGGACACCUCUCUCUCUCUCUCUGUCACUCACACACACACACACACACACACACACUCUCUCUCUCUCUCUCACACACACCCACUUAUUGAUGGGGUAAUAGGAUCAAGAGGUAGCUUUGCAUCAUCAAAAAGAAGUCAGUCAUUCUAGCCUGGAGCUUUAGAAGACGAAGUAAAAAAGAAGUCAGACAGUCCUAGCUUUGAAUCCUGGCCCAGCCACUUACUAGGUGGGAGACCUUGGAUGAGGAAACUGAGGCUGAAACAGGCAAUUAAUUUGUGCAGGUGGCACGUUUACUACAUGGUGGAACCAGGAUCUGAACUCAAAUUUGUCUGUGAAUGUUUUCAGAAUAUUCACCUACAUGUUGCCCAAAGUCAAGGCUGCCCUGGGGCAGUGUGUAUACCUGAAUGACAAUCAGUACAGGCACUGAGGGAAGGGAGAACCGAUGCUGGAGAGGCAAGCAUAACUGCCACUGUUAACUUUGUGACCAAACUUCAUGUCUUGUGGCCUAAAGGACAAUCGUAUCCCUUCUGGGGGAAUUUCCCCACCUCCAUGUUGAAGCCAAGGAUGACUAGUACUCCAUGGAAAAGAGGUCAACAUGAUAACCAGGAGAUGUGGUCAUGGGGCAUUAAAAGGUUCGAAGCUGUUCCAGAAAGGAUGUCAUUGAUGUGGAAUACAGGAACUGUGGAUGCCUCCUGAAUGGGAGCUGCAAACGAUUAUCAGAGUCAAGCAAGAGGAAUGGCAAGACUCUGGUGCUUCCCCGAGUGGCCCCCUGUGGUGUGGCAUGUCCGCUUCUCUUGGCAUCUGUGAGUAUAACUAUCUUUUUGAUAACAGUCAUCUAGUCUGCUGGCCUUGCUGUACCUAAAUAAUAAUAAUAAAACCAUUAACUACAUUUUAAAACAAGAAACCCUAUGCUCCAGAGGGGUUCCUUCUGCUUCCCAAACAGGUCCCUGCUUUCCUAUGCCCAUGUCUUUUCCUGUGCCUUUCCUCGUUCCCAGAAUAAACUUUCUCUGCCACAUCUGCAUCUUACAAUUCUAUCCAUCUUUCAAUAUAUUCUUGCUGGCAUUGUCUUGAAUCUCUGGUGACAAUAUAGACUUAAAGAUGAGAGUGUGAGGUUCAGAUUGGUUUGUGACUUAUACUAUAUCACACAGCAAGUUGAAGGCGGCAUCAGGCUCGAAGCCCAGCAGGCUUUCUUUGUGCCCCUUCCAAUCAUUCUAUUGGCUUAGGUCAACUGAGUGUGUGCAACAGAAAUGGAUCUUAGUUAACUUGAGAACAAAAGGGAUUUUCCAGAAAGAUGCUGGGGCAGCUCAAAG